UAAAAAACUUUUUUUGACUUUCAAGUUUAAAUUUGAACUUUCUAAAAUUAUUUGAAUCGAAGCCGUCAACAACAAUGAAGUUUGCGAUAUCCGUCCGUCUACAUGUUCGCCGAUGUGUAUGUACGCGUAUAUCCGUUUUUAUUAAAUUAUCUGCGGUGUGCUUUCCCCAUUUGCUGUACUUUGGUUUCGUAAUUUGAUAAUUUGUAUGAAAAAAUGGGGGCUUGAGGUGGACGAGCUUAUUACAAUUCAACGACACGAAGUUUAACCGCAAAUAAUCUCAUCCAAAACAAGAAAAAGUGUCAUCAGUAAAGAUUCUGGAUGAUUUGUUCAGUCUCGUUCGUCCUUCGUGUUCUAUUUGAGAACAUAACAACAUAUCAUAAAGCUUUCCUUCAGCUUACUUAAACAAUUGUCAUUAAGAAAAAAUCGGGUGACAUAAGCAACUGUACUGUUAUUCACAAACCAACAAAUCAAUGUAUGCUCCCACUUAGCUUCAUUUGAGCACUCUUACCUCAUCAGAAGCGACCAGGCAGCCUAAAGAAAGUGCCACCAAUGUAACCAUUACACCCACUAACCGCACUUAAUGUCCAACUGUCCAUCACAACUGCUCCAGAACUGUAACUGAACAAUUGAAAAUUGUAAUUUAUUGCCACGAAAGUUGGCGAAAAUCGUGAUGAUCGCACUGAGACUGCUCUCAGAAUCAGCAGUAGCCGUGACACGGUAGCAACUGGGAUGCACGUCAAAAGCAGACAUUUCAAAUUGGCGAGAUGACCUCAUCGCAAUGUCCGUGGCUGUAAAUAGGUCAUCUUAGACGAAGCGUUACAUAUACCCUAUCUCAUUUGAGAUAGUAUAAAAUUAAAAAUGAUGAAACCCUUUGUUGGAAAUAUUGAAAUUGGUGAAUGCAGAACUGAAAUUAAGGUGGCAACUGACUUCACUUUUUCGCUGCAAAAAUCCCUCAAGCGCGUGCCUGCUCUGCUUUCUGGACGCCUGCUGAACACAGAAAAUAAAAAUUAAUGUUUCCGGUUUGAUCUUACCUUAAAGAGAUGUCCUUACUGCGCUGAGGAAAGGAAUACUGUAAGAGAAAGGCUAGCUAAAGUUAUCUUUAACUGGAUGAGAAUUAGUGAUGAGUGACGAAAUGAAUGAAAAAAAUGUAUGUAUUAGCAGUCACUUCUCGCAUUUCAACAACAACGGCUGAUAAAAGAGGAAGCUGCACAGCGCUGAACUGGAUGGCAACUCGUCUGCUGGCAUAGCGUGAAGGCCGUGCGCCGCAAGUUGAGGGAUGGGUAAUUAAAGUAUUGUAUUGAUUAAAUGGCAUUGAGCGGUUUUAUGCAAUUUUCUGGUCAAUAUGAGUAGCUGAAGGCGGUAAAGAAGAGAACUGAAAAGUGCCAGAGGAGUGGCAGCUACAGAUGUAGAGGGAAGCAAAGCAAAUAUAAUAUGAAGUGUGCGUAUUUCUGCACCAUGAGUGUAUGAGAUGCAUAACAUUUACACGUAGCAAAUAUGUGAUAUAUUCCCUAAACAUGCAAAGCAAUGGGAAUUUACACGCAUAUUCAGCAAAUUCAACAUACAAACAUACAAAUUUAAAAAUAUCCAUGCUCGCAACCACAAGAUGAAAUACCAUUAACACGCGCUAAGUCGCCACGCGGGGAAACAAAGCGACGCAGCCGAAUGCGAGGGGGGAUGAGAGACGAAAAUUGCACUCGUUCUAUUAUUAUAAACACGUACAACAACAAAAGCAACAAAAACACUGCAGUAUAAACAAGAAACGGAUCAAAAUAAAUGCAAAACGCCGCAGCAAAAUAUACAACAAUAAGCAAACACACACACACAUAAAUACUCAUAGUCGUACGCGCUAGCUCAUUUGACCAGGCGUACGCUGCUGCGAGGCUACAAAAACAAAUAUGCAAAGCCAAAAUUGGCCAAACAAGUCACGUGCUACACGGGGGUAUAACACUCGUCCAUACAUGUAUAUAUAUUACAAUAAGUGCGUGCGCCCAGUGGGAAAAUGCUAGUUGACUCCAAAUUUUUGGAGAGUGGCGAAACGAAAAAAACUGGUAUAAAUUAAAUAGAUUGGUACAAUUUAAUGGAGAUAUCAUAGAGAGAGGUUAUACCACUUUAAUGAGAUAGCGAUUCGUCAAAGCUUAGAGAAUAGUGAAUCAAACAAACAACUGGUAUAAGUCAAAUAGACUGACAUAAUUAAAUAAUAAAAAACAGGAGGUUAUACCACUUUAAUGAGGCAAUCAGCAGUAUUCGACUUGACAAACCUUGAAGAGAGACGAAUCGAACACACUGGUAUAUUUAUAAGAAGAUACAAUAAAAAGAGGUUUCAUCACUCAAGCUCAUAUAUUAGUCAAAAGUUGGAGACUAACGAUAAUACAAUAAUAAUAACUGGUAUAAAUACAAUCGACUGGUAUAAUCAAAUAUACCAAAGUAUUAUAUUUAAAUAAUCUCUUCUGAAACUAAAUUUUAUAACUAAUUAUUUCCAAGUGGUAAUUUCAUUUCAGCAUUUUCAUGGUAUAAAUAUCUAUGAAUAUAUAUGUUCCUUGCAUUUGUCCAUAUAAGAAUUUCUGUUGCUUUGCCAACUCGCACUUACAGCGAAAAUAAUUGUAUGUCUACAUGGAUUACGUGGAUAAAAAUACAAUGGAAUGUCCAAGCUAAAAACGGAAAAUAUCGAACACACGGUCCGUGAGUGCUUAAGGAAAAUGUAUACCUGAAUGUACUAUUUUAUAAUAAAGUAUCAACUUAAAGUAUCUAUUGAAUGUAAUUUUUUAUGCAAUAAUGCUUCAUUCAUACGAAAUUCAUUUCUGAUUAAUAAAACAAGAAAAAACGUUAACUUCGGCUGUACCGAAGCUAAUAUACCCUUCA